AGUCGAGGGGUAUGCUUCUUCGGAAGCAGAGACCGGCGCACGGGUGCGUAACGCGUAUGCAAUCUACCUUUUACAGAGGGAUAGCCCAGAGAAAUUUGGAUUAAUACCUCAUAGUAUAGCUGAAUCGCAUGAUUCUACUAUUAAAGUCACAACGGUAAAAGAUGAGCAUGCGUCCCAUUAGCUAGUUGGUAAGGUAACGGCUUACCAAGGCUACGAUGGGUAGGGGUCCUGAGAGGGAGAUCCCCCACACUGGUACUGAGACACGGACCAGACUCCUACGGGAGGCAGCAGUGAGGAAUAUUGGACAAUGGGCGCAAGCCUGAUCCAGCCAUGCCGCGUGCAGGAUGACGGUCCUAUGGAUUGUAAACUGCUUUUAUACGAGAAGAAACACUGCUUCGUGAAGCAGCUUGACGGUAUCGUAAGAAUAAGGAUCGGCUAACUCCGUGCCAGCAGCCGCGGUAAUACGGAGGAUCCAAGCGUUAUCCGGAAUCAUUGGGUUUAAAGGGUCCGUAGGCGGUUUAAUAAGUCAGUGGUGAAAGCCCAUCGCUCAACGGUGGAACGGCCAUUGAUACUGUUAAACUUGAAUUAUUAGGAAGUAACUAGAAUAUGUAGUGUAGCGGUGAAAUGCUUAGAGAUUACAUGGGAAUACCAAUUGCGAAAGGCAGGUUACUACUAAUGGAUUGACGCUGAUGG
rnacentral:rRNA from 1 species